UUGCACCUGGUGGCGAGUGGCGAACGGGUGAGUAAUACAUCGGAACGUACCUUAUCGUGGGGGAUAACGCAGCGAAAGCUGUGCUAAUACCGCAUACGCCCUGAGGGGGAAAGCGGGGGAUCGAAAGACCUCGCGCGAUUAGAGCGGCCGAUGCCUGAUUAGCUUGUUGGUGGGGUAAAAGCCCACCAAGGCGACGAUCAGUAGCUGGUCUGAGAGGACGAUCAGCCACACUGGGACUGAGACACGGCCCAGACUCCUACGGGAGGCAGCAGUGGGGAAUUUUGGACAAUGGGGGAAACCCUGAUCCAGCAAUGCCGCGUGGGUGAAGAAGGCCUUCGGGUUGUAAAGCUCUUUUGUCAGGGAAGAAACACCGGCUCUAACACAGUCCGGGAAUGACGGUACCUGAAGAAUAAGCACCGGCUGACUACGUACCAGCAGCCGCGGUAAUACGUAGGGUGCGAGCGUUAAUCGGAAUUACUGGGCGUAAAGCGUGCGCAGGCGGUUAUACAAGACAGGCGUGAAAUCCCCGGGCUUAACCUGGGAAUGGCGCCUGUGACUGUAUAGCUAGAGUGUGUCAGAGGGGGGUAGAAUUCCACGUGUAGCAGUGAAAUGCGUAGAUAUGUGGAGGAAUACCAAUGGCGAAGGCAGCCCCCUGGGAUAACAUUGACGCUCAUGCACGAAAGCGUGGGGAGCAAACAGG
rnacentral:rRNA from 1 species